rnacentral:rRNA from 1 species
UACGUAGGGUGCAAGCGUUGUCCGGAAUUAUUGGGCGUAAAGAGCUCGUAGGCGGUCUGUCGCGUCGGCUGUGAAAACCCGGAGCUCAACUCCGGGCCUGCAGUCGAUACGGGCAGACUGGAGUUCGGCAGGGGAGACUGGAAUUCCUGGUGUAGCGGUGAAAUGCGCAGAUAUCAGGAGGAACACCAAAAGCGAAGGCAGCUCUCUGGGUCCCUACCGACGCUGGGGUGCGAAAGCAUGGGGAGCGAACAGG